rnacentral:rRNA from 1 species
AACGAACGUUAGCGGCGCGCCUAACACAUGCAGGUCGCACGAGAAAGGGCUUCGGCCCCGUACAGUGGCGCACGGUGAGUAACACGUAGAUCAUCUCCCCUCCGAGUGGUGGAUAACUCUCCGAAAGGAGAGCUAAUACAGCAUAAGACCACGGCUUCGUUGAAGCUGCGGCCAAAGACAGGCCUCUACACGUAAGCUUGCGCUUGAGGAUGAGUCUGCGGCCCCAUCAGCUAGUUGGUAGGGUAAUGGCCUACCAAGGCUAAGACGGGUAGCUGGUCUGAGAGGAUGAACAGCCACACUGGAACUGAGACACGGUCCAGACUCCUACGGGAGGGCAGCAGUGGGGAAUCUUGCGCAAUGGGCGAAAGCCUGACGCAGCGACGCCGCGUGAGCGAUGAAGGCCUUCGGGUUGUAAAGCUCU